rnacentral:tRNA from 1 species
AUUUAAAUAAUUUAAUAAAAAUAUUGAUUUGUGGAGUCAAAAAUAUGAGGAGUAAUAUCAUUUUAAAUC